rnacentral:rRNA from 1 species
AUCGAACGCUGGCGGCGUGCCUAAUACAUGCAAGUCGAACGCAGUGGGGACGGGUGAGUAACAAGUGGGUAACCUCCCAUCAGAGGGGAUAACACGUGGAAACAGGUGCUAAACCGAUACUGAUGGAUGGACCCGCGGUGCAUUAGCUAGUUGGUGAGGUAAAGGCCCACCAAGGACAGGAUGCAGAGCCGACCUGAGAGGGUGAUCGGCCAAACUGGAACUGGGACACGGCCCAUCGUCCUACGGGAGGCGGCAGUAGGGAAUCUUCGGCAAUGGACGAAAGUCUGACCGAGCAACGCCGCGUGAGUGAAGAAGGUUUGCGGAUCGUAAAACUCUGUUGUUAGAGCAGCGUUAUCUAACCAGAAAGCCACGGCUAACUACGUGCCAGCAGCCGCGGUAAUUC